rnacentral:rRNA from 1 species
UACAGAGGGUGCAAGCGUUAAUCGGAGUUACUGGGCGUAAAGGGCGCGUAGGCGGAUAUUUAAGUCGGAUGUGAAAUCCCUGGGCUUAACCUAGGAAUUGCAUUCGAUACUGAGUAUCUAGAGUAUGGUAGAGGCAAGUGGAAUUCCCGGUGUAGCAGUGAAAUGCGUAGAUAUCGGGAGGAAUACCAAGGCGAAGGCAGCUUGCUGGGCCAAUACUGACGCUGAGGCGCGAAAGCGUGGGGAGCAAACAGG